AGAGCGAACGCUGGCGGCAGGCCUAACACAUGCAAGUCGAGCGCCCGUAGCAAUACGGGAGCGGCAGACGGGAUAGUAACACGUGGGAACGCGCCCUUCGGUUCGGAAUAACUCAGGGAAACUUGAGCUAAUACCGGAUACGCCCUUACGGGGAAAGAUUUAUUGCCGAAGGAACGGCCCGCGUCCGAUUAGCUAGUUGGUGAGGUAAUGGCUCACCGAGGCGACGAUCGGUAGCUGGUCUGAGAGGAUGACCAGCAUCACUGGGACUGAGACACGGCCCAGACUCCUACGGGAGGCAGCAGUGGGGAAUAUGGACAAUGGGCGCAAGCCUGAUCCAGCCAUGCCGCGUGGAUGAUGAAGGCCUUAGGGUUGUAAAGUCCUUUUAACGGGGAAGAUAAUGACGGUACCCGUAGAAUAAGCCCCGGCUAACUUCGUGCCAGCAGCCGC
rnacentral:rRNA from 1 species